AUUGAACGCUGGCGGCAGGCUUAACACAUGCAAGUCGAACGAGCGGCGGACGGGUGAGUAAUGUAUGGGAAACUGCCUGACGGACGUGUAUAACUACUGGAAACGGUAGCUAAUACCGCAUACCAUCAGAUGGGCCUGGAUGGGAUUAGCUAGUAGGUGGGGUAAUGGCUCACCUAGGCGACGAUCCCUAGCUGGUCUGAGAGGAUGACCAGCCACACUGGAACUGAGACACGGUCCAGACUCCUACGGGAGGCAGCAGUGGGGAAGAUUGCACAAUGGGCGCAAGCCUGAUGGAGCCAUGCCGCGUGUGUGAAGAAGGCCUUCGGGUUGUAAAGCACUUUCAGCGAGGAGGCGUUACUCGCAGAAGAAGCACCGGCUAACUCCGUGCCAGCAGCCGCGGUAAUUC
rnacentral:rRNA from 1 species